rnacentral:pre_miRNA from 1 species
UAAAUACUCCUUCCAAAAAUUUUGUUUUAAAUUUGUCUACAUACGGAUGUAUCUAUUCACAUUUUAGUGUGAGAUACAUUCAUAUCUAGAUAAAUCUAAGACAAGAAUUUUGGGAUGAAGUGAGUAUAAG